rnacentral:rRNA from 1 species
GUGAGGAAUUUUCCGCAAUGGGCGAAAGCCUGACGGAGCAAUGCCGCGUGAAGGAUGAAGGCCUAUGGGUUGUAAACUUCUUUUCUCAGAAAAGAAUUAUGACGGUAUCUGAGGAAUAAGCAUCGGCUAACUCUGUGCCAGCAGCCGCGGUAAGACAGAGGAUGCAAGCGUUAUCCGGAAUGAUUGGGCGUAAAGCGUCUGUAGGUUGUUUAAAAAGUAUUCUGUCAAAGAUUAGGGCUUAACCCUAGAUAGGCAGAAUAAACUUUUAAGCUAGAGUUUGGUAGAGGCAGAGGGAAUUCCCGGUGGAGCGGUGAAAUGCGUAGAUAUCGGGAGGAACACCAAAGGCGAAGGCACUCUGCUGGGCCAAUACUAACACCGAGAGACGAAAGCGAGGGGAGCAAAUGGGAUUAGAAACCCUAGUAGUCC